rnacentral:antisense_RNA from 1 species
CUUCACCGACCCCAGCAGCACGGGCGUCUCCCGCUCCUGACCGUAGGUCGCCAGCAAUGCCUGCGCCUC